GUGAGUUUCUUCUUCCUUUCAUGCAAUUCAUGUUAUCUUCAUUUUUAUAUUGUGAAGUAUCCACAUUGGUUAGGUAUGUGGGUAAUGUGCUCCUUAAAAACUUGGGCAACCCUUCUCCUUGAACUAACUUUUGAGGUUGAGUUAUAAUCUCUCUAUUUUCUUAUUAUGGUAUCACAACCUCUCUAACUGGUGUUGGGCUUCUCAAUACAUGUUUCACGCUUCAAGUGUUAGCCCUGUGCGAGUGUGUGUUGGG
rnacentral:misc_RNA from 1 species